rnacentral:rRNA from 1 species
UACGUAGGGGGCGAGCGUUGUCCGGAAUCAUUGGGCGUAAAGCGCGUGUAGGCGGUCCGGUAAGUCCGCUGUGAAAGUCGGGGGCUCAACCCUCGGAUGCCGGUGGAUACUGUCGGGCUUGAGUACGGAAGAGGCGAGUGGAAUUCCUGGUGUAGCGGUGAAAUGCGCAGAUAUCAGGAGGAACACCGGUGGCGAAGGCGGGUCUCUGGGCAACUACUGACGCUGAGGAGCGAAAGCGUGGGGAGCGAACAGG